rnacentral:rRNA from 1 species
UAGUAACGGCGAGUGAAGCGGGAAGAGCUCAAGCUUAAAAUCUCCGUGCAAGUUUUGCGCGGCGAAUUGUAGUCUAUAGAGGCGUGGUCAGCGUGAGCACUUGGGGCAAGUUCCUUGGAAGAGGACAGCAUGGAGGGUGAUACUCCCGUUCAUCCCUGAGUUGCUCGUGCGUACGACCCGUUUUCUUUGAGUCGCGUUGUUUGGGAAUGCAGCGCAAAGUAGGUGGUAAAUUCCAUCUAAAGCUAAAUAUUGGUGCGAGACCGAUAGCGAACAAGUACCGUGAGGGAAAGAUGAAAAGAACUUUGAAAAGAGAGUUAAAGAGUACCUGAAACUGCUGAAAGGGAACCGAAUCGUUUCCAGUGUCUAUAAUCUGUGGCAUAUUUCAUUGGCGAGUGUGUGCGUGCGUGUGCUGUGGCAGUGGCUUUUUUGGCUGCGCUCGGUGUGUGUGCUGUGUGUGCUUGCUGGUGCCCUGUGCUGCGGUGGGACGUCAAGGUCAGUUCGUAUGCUGCGGGAAAUGGCUGCCGAGGAGGUAGGGCUUACGCUUGCGUUUGUCUGUUAUAUCUUGGUGGACGAGUAGUCGCGGUUGGGACUGAGGUGCCUACAACGUGCUUUUGAGUGUGUCUGUGUCUCCGUGUGCGCCGUGUGCGGAUAGCUUGCUAUGUGUGUGUGGUUGUGUGUGGAUUGAUGCGGGCUUUAACUUGUUGCCGUUC